AGCUUUGAGAAAAGACAAAUUCAUGGUUCAAAUUUUUCGAGGGCACAAGCAAAGUAAUUCUUACCACUAUACUACAACAACACCAUGAUCAUGAAACAAAUUCUAAGCACAAAUCUUAUAUCAAAAAUUCUAAGACAACACACACUCAAUCAUGAAUGACACCUAGCACACAUCUUCAUCAAUAGAUAAAGGAAUUUUUUUAAGGGAAUUGACUCACACCAAACAAUCUUGCUAACAUCUGAUUAACUUAUUCAUUCAUCUAAGCAAAGCAUAUUGA
rnacentral:lncRNA from 1 species